ACAUAACUGAUGCCUCCGCGUAUCGACUUUGUGCGCAUUUUAGCUAUUAUGUGUUCUUUUAAUUAAAAUGAUUCUUUUUAAGAUUCAUCUAUUAAAAAUUUGCUUCUGCAUAAUUUUUUUUGAUGAUCUUGUUACUUUGAGUAAAUUAGAGUGUUCAAAGCAAACAGAUAUAGCAUUUGUGCGUUUGAAUACUACAGCAUGGAAUAACAAAAUUGAACAAGUCAGAAUUUUUUUGUUCUUUUUUCUUAUUUUGGCUUAGUUACGAUUAAUAGGAGUAGCUUGGGGGCAUUUGUAUUCAGAUGUCAGAGGUGAAAUUCUUAGAUUUUCUGGAGACAAACAACUGCGAAAGCAUUUGCCUAAAAUACUUCCAUUAAUCAAGAACGAAAGUUAAGGGAGUGAAGACGAUCAGAUACCGUCGUAAUCUUAACCAUAAACUAUGCCGACUAGGCUUUGGAUGAAAGAUUUUAAAAUAAGAGUUUUUCUUUUCUCUCCGGAGAUUAGAACUCUUAGAUUGCUUCCUUCAGUGCCUUAUGAGAAAUCAAAGUCUUUGGGUUCUGGGGCGAGUAUUCGCGCAAGCGAGAAAGUUAAAAGAAUUGACGGAAGGGCACCACCAGGCGUGGAGCUUGCGGCUUAAUUUGACUCAACACGGGAAAACUCACUAGUUUAAGACAAGAGUAGGAUUGACAGAUUAAUAGCUCUUUCUUGAUUUCUUGGAUGGUGAUGCAUGGCCGUUUUUAGUUCGUGAAUAUGAUUUGUCUGGUUAAUUCCGAUAACGAACGAGAUCUUAACCUGCUAAUUAGCGGCAAAUACGAUAUAUUCUUAUGUAGAAUUGAAUAUAGUGGAUUCGUUAGAUUUUGAAGAAAAUAUUGGAAUUACGUUAAAUGUGAUUCCUUUCCCUUUUCUACUUAAUUUACAUUUCCAUCUAUUUCUCUUUUGCGUAUGAAUGUAUUUGCUUGAUUGUAAAGCUUCUUAGAGGAACGAUGUGUG
rnacentral:rRNA from 1 species